rnacentral:rRNA from 1 species
GACGAACGCUGGCGGCGUGCCUAAUACAUGCAAGUUGAGCGCUGAAGGUUGGUACUUGUACCAACUGGAUGAGCAGCGAACGGGUGAGUAACGCGUGGGGAAUCUGCCUUUGAGCGGGGGACAACAUUUGGAAACGAAUGCUAAUACCGCAUAAAAACUUUAAACACAAGUUUUAAGUUUGAAAGAUGCAAUUGCAUCACUCAAAGAUGAUCCCGCGUUGUAUUAGCUAGUUGGUGAGGUAAAGGCUCACCAAGGCGAUGAUACAUAGCCGACCUGAGAGGGGGAUCUGCCACAUUGGGACUGAGACACGGCCCAAACUCCUACGGGAGGCAGCAGUAGGGAAUCUUCGGCAAUGGACGAAAGUCUGACCGUGCAACGCCGCGUGAGGGAAGAAUGUUGUCGGAUCGUAAAACUCUGUUGGUAGAGAAGAACGUUGGUGAGAGUGGAAAGCUCAUCAAGUGACGGUAACUACCCAGAAAGGGACGGCUAACUACGUG